CAGUCGCCGCGGGAAUACGAAGGGGGCUAGCGUUGUUCGGAAUUACUGGGCGUAAAGCGCACGUAGGCGGAUUUGUUAGUCAGGGGUGAAAUCCCGGGGCUCAACCUCGGAACUGCCUUUGAUACUGCAAGUCUCGAGUCCGGAAGAGGUGAGUGGAAUUCCUAGUGUAGAGGUGAAAUUCGUAGAUAUUCGCAAGAACACCAGUGGCGAAGGCGGCUCACUGGCCCGGAACUGACGCUGAGGCGCGAAAGCGUGGGGAGCAAACAGGAUUAGAUACCCGUGUAGUCCCUGUCUCUUAUAC
rnacentral:rRNA from 1 species